CCCCGCCUCCUCUCGCGAGACUCCAGACCCACGCUCCUGAGUCGCGUUUUUCGAAGCCCUAGCGGAGGCGGUGGGUUGCUCCCCCGGGUGUCUCCAACGCGUUACCGGCACCUUCCACUGAGUCUAGCUACUCAAAUAAAUACGAAAUAGGGCUGCUAUGAGGGAUGAGUAGGCCUAAACUCAGUCCUCCGCUGCGCGGGCCUGGAAACCGCUCUCCCGAAGGCCGAGGGGCGAAGGGAGCGGAGCCGAAGUGACUCAGGGCCGAUCCGAGGGUCGGGGCCCAGUGAGGACUUGGGAGCCCCCCGGAUUACUGUUUCCCAGACUCGAUUCGCGAUCUCGCCGAGGGGGCAGAAAAUAUUUAAGUGCUGACAGCUUUUCGUUGUCGUUGUUACACUAGAGACAAAUAGAAGACUAUGUGGAGAGUGGCUUGUGUAUGCGUCCUGGGCAGAGAAACUUCUUGGACUGGGUUAAUAUUAACUUAGAGGCUCAGAAAGGACACUGAUUCCCUUGGGCAAAGUGCUGGUGCUGGCCAAAGGCCCUUCCCUCUGACCCUCUCCUGAGAAGCAGAGCUGCUGACAAGCCACAGCGUGCCAUCAUGUACUCGGUUCCUACCCUGAAGGCUUUGGAGGCCAAUAUAGUUGUUGGAAAGUAUUGUGCCUAUGAAAGUCUUCACGAUUUUAAGGAUCAAUACAUUUGCUGCUCUUACAACUAACUAAUCCUGGUAGAAUAGGCUAGAGCUGUGAUACUGAUCUUUAAAAAGUAUUUUGGUCACCACAUGAAACCGUAGAGAUUCGCAACAAAAAACCUCAUAGUGCAUGCAACCCCUUAGCCACGUUGACUUAACGACAUUGUGUGGUCACUGUUAGGUUAGGUAACAUAGUAAACUGGAAGAACCAUUGUUCAGUCCCAAAGGUGUGAUUAUCCAGUAAGUAUUUAUGUCUUUGGCCAUGUUAGGAGAGCAGAACAGUGUAUGGUCCUUAGCUUAAAUUUAAUAGGCAUAUAGGAUGUGCAUGUAGGUUCUGACAAGUUAGACUACAUAGCCAAAACCUGCACAUUUUUAGAGAAUCUUGUGUUUUAUGUAAAACGCUCCCAAGGAAAAAGAAUACUGUGGCUUUUAAGAUCUGUAGGUGCUCCUCUAAAGACUAUGUCGGUUAAUGUGCCUACUUUAUACCUUUUAAACUUACUUUGGAUGACGGUUGGUAAAGGACAUUGAAAAUGACAAGUUCAAUAUAUAGGUGCUAACUUUAAUAACUUUCAUUACUGAGUACACAAUGGGUACUAGCAAAGAAAGAGUAUUCACCCUGGGGGUUUAAAUCUAAGUUAGAAAAGGCAUUAAAACGCAGAUAUAAAACGUAACAAAACGAGGAGACCAGAACAGUCUCUUUCCAUCUGAGAUUACUUUCCCUGAUUUGGAUUUGAGCACACUGCUUAGUAUCUUUGGACAAUGUUUCACAUACUAUAGGUAUUUAAUAAGUACUUAUUGUAAGGUUAAAAAGCUAAUUUUGCUUGAUAAAUUGCUCUUUCUCAAGGAGGUAGCCUGGGCGCUACAACUGUGAUAAAACCAACAUUUGAGGGGAAAAUGCUUAGAAAAUUACUUCCCUGUAAAACAGUUUUUAGACGUUUUAACUAUGUAUCUUCAUUUUAGAGCAGGCACUCUUUUUCGCUAUUGGUCUAUUUUCAACUAAGCAAAUAUAAUAUUUAGUGCUGCAGCAAAUAUUUCAUGACUAAGUAUCUGCCUCAGAGAGCUUACCUUUAAUUAACAAAAUAAAUGAUUGCAUAAAAAAGCCAGGGGCUUCCCUGGUGGCGCAGUGGUUGAGAGUCUGCCUGCCGAUGCAGGGGACACGGGUUCGUGCCCCGCUCCGGGAAGAUCCCACAUGCCGCUGAGCCUGCGCGUCCGGAGCCUGUGCUCCGCAACGGGAGAGGGCACAACAGUGAGAGGCCUGCGUACCGCAAAAAAAAAAAAAAAAGCCAGUUGUUGCCUUUUUUAAAUUUCGAUAUUGGCAAUGUGAAGGGCAAGGGUAAAGAAUUUUAAAGGCCAAGAAAGAGUGGGCAAUCAACAGCAGAAGAUAUUUUGCUGGUACCUCGUAAAGAACAGUUGGUGUGAUGGAGAUGUGGUAAAUUAUCAGCAAAAUACCAUUCUUUUUCUUCUCUGGGAGGUCAACAAUGUGUGAGAAGCCAAGCACAAAACUCCGACAUAAAUGAGAUAUGACUAGUCUCCAAGCUACCUGAGUUUAAAAGAAAAGAAGAAUAUUGAUUUGAAAAAAAAAAAAAAAAAAAAAGAAUAUUGAUUUGUUCCUUAUACUCCUAUCUUCAUAGACUAUACACAAAUUCCUAGGGAGCAAAGUAUGUUUUUGUAUAAUUUAUACAACCUAUUGGACAAGGUGCUCAAUAAAAAUUGUCAUUUUCUGAACACAAAGCUAUUAAUAUAUAUGUGGUAGACAUCCCCAGUUUCUAAUUGUGUAAAAUUAAAGGCAUGGGAAUGAGUCACUUACUGAAGGUCAUAGGAUAAGGUCCUAGACUGGAUUAUAUUCUUCCUUUCUUCUCUUUCCCCCUCGCUUCUCUGUCCUCAAAAUUGACAGCUGAAAAUUCAUUAGAAUACAUACUGUUGUUUUCACUGUAAUAACCACAUUGUUUUAUGUGGUAGCAAAAUCAACAGCAGGAUGUUAUUUAAAUUGCCACAGUUGUCCAGAUCUGAGUAUCUGUGAAUUGGGUUUUCUUUUUCAUGACCUGACAGUGGGAAGUUGUGUUCUAUCUGUCAAAAACAGAGGUACAUUUUCCCCACUAAACAAAUUUUAAAGGAAAAAUAAGAUCCACAAGUUAAAAUGUAAGCUCCUUGAGGGCUGGAUCUUAUUUUCUUUUGUCUCCCCCGGGACCUAUAUCUGGCCUACUGGAACUCAGUAAAUCUUUAUUGAAUGAUCUCUUUCUCUUCUAUAAAAUCAAGUCAGAAUGGUCUUUUUUUUCCUUAUUAAUUUCUGUUUCUAUUAAUGCAAUUUCAUUAGCUUUCUCUUACAUGACUUCCCUAACUGGAGGUGGAAUAAACACACAGUACAUUUCAUUCUUAGUUGUGAUUCAAUGUCUGUAACUGGGAGACAAACUUACUGAGAGAUAUUUAAGACCUAGGACAAGAAGCAGCAGACCAAUUAGACACAUGCUCAUUGUCAUCAAAUACUUUAAAUUACUACUUUUUUAAUGAGAGGACAAUAUGGUUAGAGCCUCUCAGCCUCCUAUGAAUGCUUUGAACAGGUAAGUUGUAGGAUAUUAGCACUGUGACAUAGCAGGAAAACCAAUCACCUUUCCUAGUCAUGCUUAAUUUACACACUAUAAUCUUAUUGAUUAAAUUUCAAGGUUUUUUUUUUCAGUCUUUAUUGAAUUCGUUACAAUAUUGCUUCUGUUUUACAUUUUUGGUUUUUUGGCCCUGAGGCAUGUGGGAUCCUAACUCCCUGACCAGGGACUGAACCCACACCCACUGCAUUGAAAUUCGAAGGCUUAACCAUCGGACUGCCAGGGAAGUCCCUCAAGUUUUCCUUUUUUUUUUGCCGUACGCGGGCCUCUCACUGUUGUGGCCUCUCCCGUUGCAGAGCACAGGCUCCGGACGCGCAGGCCCAGCGGCCAUGGCUCACGGGCCCAGCUGCUCCGCUGCAUGUGGGAUCUUCCCGGACCGGGGCACGAACCCGUGUCCCCUGCAUCGGCAGGCAGACUCUCAACCACUGUGCCACCAGGGAAGCCCCAAGUCUUCCUUUUUAAUUGAAAAUAAAAUCUGACUUUUGUUUUUAUAGCUAUAUAACUGUUCAAAAGACUGAUUUUUUUAGGGGGAAACUUCUUUUAAUAAUAGAUUACCUCCAAAUAUAACUGAUUGUAGUUAGCAAGGAUGAAAUGCCACAUAAAUACCAAAUUAGCCAUCAUCAAUAUAACAAAUUGAAGUAAACUAAUUAGUAUAAUAGUCAUAUUUGCUGUUUACCCCCACCCUUACCAGCAUAUGCCCCUCUAGUCCGUAGACACACAAACACUAACUCCUCGUCCCAUCCAUCAGCUCUAGCUCAAAAAAUACCAUCUGUGGGGAAAACUUUCUUGACUCUACUGUGAAGUCAAUUCUUGAUUUGACACUCUUGGCAACCUAUACUUCAUGACUUAACAUAGUUUAUAACAGUUGUUUAAUGUGUUUCCCCCAUUAGAUUGCAGGAUCCAAGAUAUCAGGAAAUUUUUGCUUAUCAUCCCUAGCAGAAAGUAGGCUAAAAAAAUGACUAGUUUUGCCUUGAGGCAACAGCUUUGUCUCAAGGCAAAACUAUUGUCUCAUUAAUUAUGAAGUAUAUAAACCACAACAAAUAAUUCCAUCUAUUCUAUGGAGGAUUUAACUGUUUUCUGACUUUAUAAGUAUUUGAUUUUAAACAUUUGCUUUCUUAUACUGAGGUUUCUUAAAGACUAAAAUUGAGCAGUAGUGUUGACAGUUCCACAACUGAGAUUUUAAUGUAAAUGUUAUAAAAUACAUACAAUAAAAAAUACAGAAUAAUAGGUGAUAUAAGAUGGAAAGUAGGGGCUUCCCUGGGGGCGCAGUGGUUAGGAAUCUGCCUGCCAAUGCAGGGGACACGGGUUCAAGCCCUGGUCCAGAAAGAUCCCACAGGCCACGGAGCAACUAAGCCCGUGCACCACAACUACUGAGCCUGCGCUCUAGAGCCCGCGUGCUACAACUACUGAGCCCGUGAGCCACACAACUACUGAAGCCUGUGCGCCUAGAGCCCGUGCUCCGCAACAAGGGAAGCCACCGCAGUGAGAAGCCCGUGCACCGCAACGAAGAGUAGCCCCCGCUCACCACAACUAGAGAAAGCCCGUGUGCAACAAUGAAGACCCAACACAGCCCAAAAUAAAAUAAAUAAAUUUA